GUCCUCCAGACCGGAAACGCCCGGCGGAUCCCGAGUUCCGCACUCUGAGGCAGCCGGGAAAUUACUGUUCCGGCAUCUAGCCGAACUACUAGUGUUGGGUUAGGGUGUCUCUGACGCGGAGAUGCCUAGCUCUCUGAACCCGUAGCUUCACCACAGCUGGAUGCUUGACCGCUAAGAAACCAAGACCUGAGGAGGGACUGAGCCUUGCCUUGUGUCAUACAUUAGUGGAUGACAAAAGCUGGCACCAGAACCAGUUCUCCAGACACCAAAGCUCUCCUCUUCCCAAUACGCUCUGUGUCUACCCUGUGCUUGAGCUUAGAGGUUCAGACCUGGCAGUGUGGCUCAGUGGCUCAAGACAUCGUGUUUCCUUUUUAACUGCCUUCCCUUGAUUCAGUGACACCCCUGGCCACAGAUGCGGUGAACAGCUGCAAACCCUUCCAGCCGUGGAGAAUGUACUUUGACCAGACAGACCCAACUGUGAUCCUCUCUCCACCUUUGUCUCCUUGGACUUCAAAUCUCAGCCCCCCCUGUUUCUUCGAGUAAGUCGUAACAGGAGGGAAUCAAUGCUUUUUCUCCUCCACUCCACUCAAGCCAGCAGCCCUUUCCUUUCAAGUAAAAGCCUAUAGAAAAUUUCUCUCUCCUCAAGUCUACCUUCAUGGGCUCUGGACGCCAAGCUUUCUCUCAAUACUCUUCCCUGACACCUUUCCUACAUGACCCCGACUUCUUCUAAAGGCAUCGUCCUUCCUUUGGAGGGAGUGAAGAGGAGAAAGGUCCAGUCCUCCCAAGGGGCCAUACCUGAGCAAAUCCCACGAAGAACAGCUGGUGAUUGGUGAGCCCCACAGCAGGCAGCGGCUGCUCCUCCCCAUGCUUCCUCAGCCAUGCUUUGUAUGCCUAGGGGAGUAACAAGUAGCAAGUCCCCCAGCCCACGUCCCCAAGAACCCUUCUACACAGUCUGGGGAGACCUCGGCCACUCACAUUGUAAGCAGCCUUGAGGCCCCCAUUAUCGGCGAUGUUUUCCCCCAGGGUCUGGAGUCCGUUGAGCCUCUCUCCAUUGACCUGGUACUGGUUGUACUGUUCUUCCAUGCAGGCUGUAUGAUUCUGGAAAGCCGUGAGUGACUCAUUCUGCCACCAAGGCCGCAGAUUCCCUUCUUGGUCAUACUCUCGCCCUGAGAAGAACUCAUCUUUGCAACCUACCCAUGGGGGAACGAAUACCCCCAAACAACCCCAGCCCGAAGACACCAGGAUCCUUAAGAUUUGCCCCCAAUACCUCAGAUCCCUGUAGUGGUCACCGGCAAUUCAAGAAUGGGCCCCUACCUUGGUCAUCAAAGGCAUGUGUCAACUCGUGGCCCAUCACCACACCGAUGCCACCGAAGUUCAAAGCCCUGGCGGAUGAGGAAUCCUGAUGCCUGAGCUCCUCACUGAGGCCAGGAACAUGACCAGAGCUCCAAGCUUGGAAGGUUAGUACUGUGAACAACGAUACUCACCCCAUCAUAAACAUCAUCCAGUUCUCUGGGCUCCAAGAUGAAAUCAGGGAAACCAAUCAUAUCAUAGAUGGCAUCUGCCUGAAGAGACCAAAGUAAGGGUUUCCCUCUUAGCUCCCAGCAAAACUCAAUCAGCUGUCACCACCUCAAGAUGGCGCCCCCAACACAGCCGUGGCUCACUUUCUCCUUGGCUGCCAGCCGGGUCUUCUCGUCCAUCCAAACCAAGUUUUCCAGAGUCUCCUCAAAAGCAGCACGGAUUUCACUGAUCAUCCCCUCGGCCUGCAGGGAGAGGGGAGGGUCACAAGUCAGACUUCCCUGCCCUUACUGCACUGAGAUCCCCAUUCGCUCUUGGGUUCCCUCCUGAUCUAUCCAGGAGUCAUGGAUUAUAAAGAGUCCCGGCAGGGAGGGCAAGACUACCCCAGGCGACAUUAUUGUUAUUGUGGGUGGAUUUUUCUAAGUAAUUAAGUAAACAUUUGAAUUGGCAGUUGGGUAAA